GGACACCUCGGGACGCAGCAGUGGGGGAUAUUGCACAAUGGGGGAAACCCUGAUGCAGCGACGCCGCGUGAGCGAUGAAGUAUUUCGGUAUGUAAAGCUCUAUCAGCAGGGAAGAAAAUGACGGUACCUGACUAAGAAGCCCCGGCUAACUACGUGCCAGCAGCCGCGGUAAUACGUAGGGGGCAAGCGUUAUCCGGAUUUACUGGGUGUAAAGGGAGCGUAGACGGCAGUGCAAGUCUAAAGUGAAAGGCAAGGGCUCAACCCUUGGACUGCUUUGGAAACUGUGCUGCUCGAGUGUCGGAGAG
rnacentral:rRNA from 1 species